GACAAUAAUGCAGGUAUGGGAUAAUAUUCUCUCGGAAGUGCGGCUGCCUCCACUGUCGCUGGCGGCUGCGCAAAGCGGCCACGCUAUAUAUAAAGUCGUGGAGCCAGGUGAUAACUCGCCACUCUCAUUUUCAGAGCUCUCAGUGCUAUUUGAUUCCUUCCAGCUUGACAUCUUUCUUGCAGACCGCUUUCAAUCGAUCGUCUCUGUUCCCCAGCCUCGAGAAAAGUCCACUUUGCUGUUCCAGUGCUUCUCUAGCUCGUCCGUCUUUGAAAGAUCAAGCUUUGGCCGAUCUGGUUGAUCCGAGAUGGGAUUUCUGGCAAGGUUGUGGGACGAUGUUGUUUCUGGGCAUGAUCCUGGGAUGAAUCUGCGGGAUCCAAAGCUUGAAGGAUCAUCGCAAGGAGCUCCUUUCGCCCAACGAGAGAAAGACAAGUCAGGGAAUACGAGUGAUCGAGAACGAAGAACCGGAGAUCCGAGCGUUACAAGACAAUUAUCUCCCAGUGUCUCGGAUUGGCUCGUUCUCAGCAUUCUAGACAGAUGACAAAAAAAGCUUCUCAAAGUUUGCUCUUUGCAAAGAAAGAUCUUUGUCUUGUGAAAGUCUGCUCUUCACAAAAAUCUACGUGAUGAUCUAGGCUUGAAAAGAAAAAUCUUCUAAAUGAAGUUCUGAUUGGUGGAUCCAAACUUUCGAUUCGAUCUUGGAUUAAAUGAUUUUGUUCCACCACAAAAUCAUAGAAAAUUUCAACCAUCAGUAGCGGAAGUUCUUUAUAUUCAUCACCACCAUCUCAGAGAACAUCGUUUGGUCUUUCACAUUCUCUCCAGUGUUCUUACUUACCUUGAUCUCUUUCUUUCAGCGACCUGUGAAUCCAGACAGCGAACGCUUUGAAUUGGUUUGGAUUCAUGAAAGUCGCCGAGAAUUGAAUUGAAUGCCUCGUCCAGCGCCCUCGAGAAUUCCUUCUCUACACUGCCAUGGCGAUGGAUCCCUCCUCCUGGAAGUGGAGGAGCAAGAGCAUGGCUUCCCUCUCCAGACGAAGCCCAAGGUAGAGGAUCAUCAAAACGUAGGCCAAGAUCGCGAGAGCUCCCAAGGGCCCGAGCGCCGCACGGUACAAGCUCGCAGCGCUCGAAUCCAUCACGGCUGUGGAAACGAAAUAGCCGCCAGCAAACGCGACGCAAAUGCCAAUCGCCCACGCCACUAAUCUCAUCAUCAACACACAAAGGAAGAAACAACGCAUCGAUGGAUAGAAAACGAAUCGCGAGGACCUACAGUGGUUCCUGAGCCCUCCAUCGUCGCAAGAGCCACAAAGUUCUCCGCGAGAGAAUGGAUGGAACAGGACAUCUUAUAAAGUCCCAUCUUAUAUGAUUCCCCUCCACUACGAGGACGUGAUGGGCAUCCUGGAAAGGAAGAGAAGAUCGCGAGAUUCACAAAAUGAAAUAAGGCAUUGUUUUGGAUCUAUGGUGAGGGCUCCAGAUCUGCGUUGGAGAGAGGAAUUCCAAGGCAGAGAGAAAGGAAAGGAACCAUCGUCAUUCUUUUAGCACCACACUCAUACAUACAAUGCGGGUUAUCUGAAUUUCCUAAAAUUAAAUGCCCUGUGUCUGGUCGUUCGUGGGAGAGUGGAGCUCCGAAGAUGGCUCUGGAUAUGAUGCAAAGAAGUGACUACCAUCCAUGCAUUUUCUCAAAAGGCUUGUGUGAUUCCAGAAGGAAGAAGUGAGCUGUACUUCACAAGGAGGAUGACAUGAGCGAGCUGCAAAGAUUGUCAGCUGAUGCUACAGCCGAUGCACAAAACAACUUGCAAGAGAAAAUUCACCACCAAGGUCGUUGCAUCCGAAUAACAAUCUUUGAGCGUGAGGCUUUAUUCGCAAGUCCAUCACUAGCAUCUUUAGCCAAGUUACAGACUUAAGAUGUUCGAUUUGGGAAGGCUGGCCGAUAUCAGCAAUAGAGCCACUCAUCUCUGCAUUCGUGCCAGGCCGGAGAUCCCAGAGCUUUGGUAAUGUGUUUCCAGUUUUCAUGUGAAACGAUAACCAGGGUGCAGCUAGUUUCAGAACCAAUUGUCGGUAUAAGGAAUCAAGGAAACGUUUUGUAGAAUUACCUCGAAUUGCCUCGAAUGGAAGGCUCAGUGGCAGAAGACCUGGAGGAGUUCAGCAAAUAAACAGCUCAUGAGAUCAUCAAAACAGCUUACUAUAAUCUGUUAGUCUCAUGGUUUUUGGUGGGUGCCACAAUACCUUGUAAAUAGCUAAUGAAUGAAUGAAUGAAAUGAAACCGAGAGGAGAUUCAAGUUCUAUACCUUUAAAUAGUUCCAACUCUGCAUAUAAUAACCUGAACUUUGGUGAAGUAUGUUUGAGAAUCACAAGAAUGGUUAAGGAGCUCCAGGGGUUCGUUUUAUAGUCGUUGAAGCAAUGAACCUAACAACCUCAAAGUAAGCACAAGCACAAUGCCAGAAAAUUAUACCUGGACAUCAACUUACACUUCAGGUACUUUCUGAAAAAAAUUCUGCCUUAUGGUCACAUGUAAACCUUGAGCUUACCAUCAAUUCUGACUACCAUGUUUACUCCUGAAAUCUAUGAGUAAGAAUAUAUAAACGGACAAAAUUCCAGAUGUUUACAUCCAUGUCUAAAACAUCGAGAUGGACAGCAUAAACUUCAUGUGACAUCCGUUUGAAAGCUUCAAAUGACCUAGAUCAACCUUGAUGUACUGCCUAGGGUGGGUGCCAACAGUUCUAAUCCACAUAGCACCAUGGAAUUGAUCCAUGUGACUGGCUUGGGCUGUUUCUUUCUCUUCUUUUCUUUUUCCUCUUGCUCUGGCUGCUCCUGAGCUCAAGGAACUUGCCAAUUGCAGCUGUAGAGGCCUUGUUGCAGGAGAUUACUACCCACCAGCUCACAACACUAAGGAGAUGUUGCACAUAGAUUCUUCAGUGAAUCCUUCUUACUCCUAGCUUUUCAGUCAUGACAGAAACGGCCUUUAUCUCUCUCCCACACACAACUUUGUUCUCAAAUGUGCCUAGGAACACUGUUGGUUUGCAGCUGUUUGCAAUGCACACCAAGAUUCUCAAAUCCAACUUGCCCAAGAAGGUGACAAGCUCUUUCUUGCAUCAGGACUUGCUCCCAAUCAAUCCAACUCUGUAGAGAAUUCUCUCAGGACUUCCAGAACGUUCAAGAUCCCUUCUUUGCAAUACUAGAAAGAUGGGACAAGCUUAGAAUCCUCUCUAGAUACUCCAGAACUUCUUUGAACACAGUUAAAUUGCUGUUAUAAGCUUGGGAACAUUGUUGGACUGUAGCUGUUUGCAAGUUACAAAGAGAUUCCUCUCAAAGAACACUCUCCUCUUUCUAACAAAGAUGCAAACUUGUUUCUAAGACCAAAGGGUCACAAUUGUCUUUCCAGCCUCCCUUUUAUCCUCCAAAGCUGAGAUCCUUUUGAUGUUUAUGAUGCUUGCCAUCUCCCAGAAUCUUGGAUGGUUGUCUUACCUCCUUGGGUGAUCUUUUUGAAUUGUCCAUGCUGGGAAUCUCAAAGAUUCUUUACUUAAUAUAUCACCAUCCACGUCAUAUGUCACAUGGAUCAAACGAUUCUAGCAUUUCUCCAGUAUAACCAUAUCGCCUUACCCACCUCGAGGAUGCAAAAUUCUUUUGCACCCUCAUCAUACCUACAUUUCUUCAACUUUUACAUCCUUGUUUUCAGCAUCCUCUACUAUCACAACUUCCUUCACAUGUUCUAGUUCUUUUUUAGCUAUUGAGACUUCUUUGUUACUGAUGAUGCUAGAUUCCCUUGAAUUCCCCCUCUGUCAAUUUCUACUUCCUCCAAAAGGCUCUAGUCUCAAGUCUUCUUAACUUCAUUAUCUUUGUUGCUUACUCCUUUUGUCUCCUCUUGAUGAGCUUCCGCGAUUCUUACCCCACCUUAUGGACUCAUCUCAAUCCCACUUAUAAUCUCCUUUAGGUUCAGUUGAUUAUGUCAUGUUAAAGCCUCCAUGUCCCCAGGUCCUUCUUCCAACAAGAUUCUUCACUCUUCUCCAUCCUUCAGCUCCUGGCUUCCCUGGCUGUAUCUGAUUCUGAUCCUUGGAAUAUUCUCUCUCUCUCUCUAGCUCUUUAGAACAAAAGAAAAAGGGCAUCACCAUUUCACAUAAAAGAGUGAAGGGUUCCCAACAAAUGGUGAUUGAAUUCCUAGUUAGCUUUUGGUUCAUAGCUUGAUUCUCUUGUCUUUUAAUAUUCUUCUACUUUUGUCUUGUUCUUCACUAGAUCUCCGAUGAGAGGCAGCAUUAGCAGAGGAGGAUAGGCACAUUGGAGUGAUCAAUCGUGAGGUUUCUCCAAUAGCACAACCCCAGAUCUAGAGAAUUUUUUCGUUUCUUUCAUUUUCAUAGUGAAUUUCUUCCAUCUCGGGCAUUGUAUUAAUUUUUGAGGUUUUAGGUUCCUAGAUCUGCUCCAGAUAUGUGUUCUAGCAUCAAGAAUUCUUAGAUUUAGCAGCUAGAGCAGAACAUACAGCCAUUCUCACAGUACAUUAUAGUCACUUUGGAAGGCUUGUUUUCUUUCUUUUCUCCACUAUUCAAAUUUUUUCUGAGCAUGUUGGAUAGAUUUGCUCUGGAGCUUUUCCUAGAAAGUUUAAUUUUGAGCUGGGUUAGAAUGGUUUUGAGUGAGCAUAUUCUCUCAUAAGAUCCCAUUGCAGCAACUCAUGCAAGAUCUUAUCCAAUUCUAGCAAGGCACACACAAAUCAGUGUUUAAUUAUACAACUUGAUUCAAGGCAUUCUAGAAGUUAUGUCUUGAUCACAAGGCCAUACAGGAAGAGGCUAUUGGUAUCUCUGCUUAUGUUCAAAAUCUCAAACCUAGACUACAAUGAGAGGUGGCAAAGUGGCAGCACCAACAAUGCUUGGAUGCUUAUGCUCAUGCAAUUGGGCUUGAAAUAGAAAUGUUUCACAAGCUUGGAGUGUCAUUCACAGAGGAGCUUGUCCAAGGGCCUUUGGUUGAAUAUCCUUGUGCUACUUUUACACCUUAAUUUUGCAUCAAGCCAGCAGGCAGUUAGAUGCCUACAACAAUUGAAGCAGCUUUGGCAGAAUUCAUCCUCUAGCAAUAACAAAAGUAACAACUCAAGCUGAUCCAGGAGCUCCAUGCCUUGAGACUCCUUACUGGGACUCACCCCUCUUGCCCUCCAUGCCGGUGUGAUGAGUGUCACUCUAAUACACAUGAUACAGCUCGUUGUUGGCACCUUCACCUUGAGCUUUGCCCUCCUCAUCAACUCCUCGUACAACAGCAACAAUCUGGAGACAACUCCUUGUUAGCAUCACUGUCCAGUUCGAGCAGAUACCAGUAGAUGCUUCAACAAUGCACUAUCAAGGCAACUCCAUCAUCAUCUAAAGAUUGUGGAAAAGAUCCAGCUCGCAUUAACGUGAUCAAAAUUUAUGAGAAAGAAGAAGUAGCAGCUUGUAGCAGCAACUAUGCUCAGAAGCAGAAGGCCACAGCUACCCAGGAAUUAGAUGGAAAGGCAAAUCCAAAUCUCAAGGAUUCCAAUCUAGCAACACUUAUGGCAUGCAAUUGCCAUUUCCUUUGGUUUUUCCACUUGAUCUAGCACACUAGAACGUCUUCCAAAACUAACUACUUGCAAUAGGAAUAACACUUGCUCGACACAUAAGUCUCCCUCUCGCUCAGCCAUCUUUUGUGAGUAUGGUCAGAGCGUCUGGCCCAGAUCCUUCUCCCACUCUACCAGCACAUCCAGUCCAUCAGAUCUUGGAGUGUUCAUUAUCCCAACAAAGGUGGCAGGCAUAGACAAUACUUUGGCUAAUUCCAAAUUUAGCAUGAACAUUAUCUUCUUAGAGAUCACCAAACAUGCUUGCCUUGGCAUCUUUCUGCACUCCUCAGUUGUGCUCAAAUCAUUUGCAAAUCAUAUAAUUCAUCUAGUCGCCAUUUGCUAUGAUGUCCCUAUUUCUACACAUGGUGUCACAAUGAAUGUGAAUCAUAUCAUUGUCAACUGCUCUACACUUGAAGCCCCCUUCUCUCAAUGAGUCUUUGAUCCUUGCACAUGGCAAGGAGAGCAGGAUAUAUAAUGAUUGGCAAAGGGGAGAACAUGCCUAAAAUUUUGAACAAUCCCCAUGGGGACUUCUCUGUGUGAGUCUUCUUCCACCAGUGAUACAACAACAGCAACAAAGGAACCUUUCAACCCUGAGGAGUAUGAGGAUGACAAUCCAUUUGACAUCAUCUUCUGCUGGAUGAUCACAAGCUUAGCCUCUUUACUUGAGACUUAGGCUUCCCAUGAUGAUAUUGCCUCACCUACAGGCACUCAUGAGCUUUUGGACGAGGAGCAACAUUCAAGUUUUCUAGCGGACAAGCUUAAAGACAACAGCAGCAACACUUUCACUACUACAGUCUCUCUUGGAGCAGAUCCUAGUGACUUAACAAAGCAGGAGAAUGACACAGGAGUGAACCUAUGUGCUGUUUCUUUUGGUGGCAAACAAGGGCCACUCGCAGCCAAUUCAUGCCCGACCAUGGCACUUGUAGCACCAAUGAAGAAUGAGGCUGGGCAGUGAAAUUUGAGCUCCCUUCUUGGACAGAUAUCCACAUGUCUACUCUUAUCUACUAAGUUAUUCUUUCCAGGAUCAUUUUGGCUCUAGAUCCUUUUCUUCAUCAGUAAGGACCCUGUCCCAUCAACCUAAGCAACUCACAGAAGCUUUUCAAGAUGGCACAUAAGAGCUAUACAACAAAACCCAACAUUUCCUACAAAGUUGGCCACAACAAAGCAAUGACAAUUUUUCUGGACUUUGACCACAUUCAUGAGUUUCCAAACACCAGAGGCCACUCUCUUUAGCUUCUAACUGCCAGCAAACACCUUGGAGUCAUCACUUUCCAUUAGCUACAUCAUUUCAAUAAGGCACAACACUCAGGAUCUCUUCCAUCUUUGGCUCCGGUUUCCAGCACCAACUCUCCUAGCAAGAUGGAUCCUUUUGAUGUGUCUUAUAGGCCACAAAGAUCUAGCCAAGUUGUAAUUGCUUUGCACUCACGAGUUUGCAGCUACAUUUGCUACACUCGACACCACCAUCUUUCUACCAGCAACUAAGGCAAGUUCCUUUCUUUUGACAACAUCACUUAUCAACCUCUAGGAGCAGCAGAAGCUGAGGCACUCCAAAUCUUGAGCAGCAUUGUUUGUGCAUCUAGAUUCUCUCAACACUACAAACUUUGCAUUGACAUGCCCGACCUAAGCAUGAGUUCUAGUAGCGUUCAAGGUACCCUACAGGACUCCCUCUGCCCUCCAGAUGUGCACUCCAUCAUGGCUACAUUCAUCAAGAGCCAAUGACCUUCUCAAGUGGUCACAAGGCAACAAAUUCCAGCCCGGGCUUUGGUUAUCUACAACUUGGAGCUGCCUUUGAGCACCGUGGCAUACAUCUACCAUGCCGGAAGAGCAGUGCAUGAUUUGUUUUCAUUACGUUUGCAUGAAAGAAUGCUAAAAGGUACUUGAAAUGUGUGUACUUCUUAUUAUGUAUUAUGUACAGCAGCAUAGAAACUUCAAUUGUAACUCCAUCUCGACAUUUCUUUGUUUGGCGUCCAGGAUCAGUUUGCAGCUCCCAGGUACACACUAAGUCACUCACAAAGCUUUGCUUCGAGACAACCGAGUGGCAGUCAUACACAAGGGAAGCAAUCCAUUUACUCUGCUGGUUCAUGAUCACCACCCUUGCUUGCCAUGUCAGCCCCCCAGCUCACCAGUUUGACCAGGUUGACAUGCAAUACAAUCGCACAUUCACAUGAGAACCUAGAACCAUGGAUCUUGAAUGGUAAAGCUCCAUGAGAAGAGGGUUCACAAGUGGCCUUCUAGCUCAGUUGGUCAGAGCGUCGUGCUAAUAACGCGAAGGUCACAGGUUCGAGACCUGUGUGGGCCAACUAUCAUUUUUUCCUUUAUGCUUUAAUGUUUUAGGGCUUUGUUUAAUGCGAGGGUUUUUCUAGGGUUCUUGCGAGAUGAGGGUCGGAUUCCAGAUCGCCAGGGCGGUCGCAAGAGCGGUCCAUGGAUCCGGCAAUGCGGUAUCUUCCAGCCGCAUUUUCAGGCCUUCGAGCAGCAGCAUCAUCGUCAGGGGCCUGGCCGACGAUUUCAGCAGCCUCUUCGAUCAGAAUGCGAUGAAGACCAAGGCUCCAGGCAAGGCGAGGGAAGAUGGAGAGGCCACAAAGGCGGGCAAGGUGAACGAGGACAAGGAGGAGGUGAGUGAAUUGGAUCUACUGGAUUUGCAAUUCGCGAAAAUCGAGACUACAACAAGAACAACAACGGUGAGUGAUAGCAAGCCGGAGUCCCUGGAGCCAAUCGUCCAGGAGAUCCCGCUCCUACCGCCCUUUGGAUCUGACGAGGAGCUCAUCGAGUACGCAACUGCGGUCGUGAAAGAAACGCCGUGGCGGCAGCUCUACACCAAGCUCGCAGUUCUGGGUGAUCAAGUCAAGGCUCACCACGUCCCAGAGAUCAUCAAACGAGCCAAGGAUUCGCCGGUGGUGUUUAGUUUCUUCAUGUGGGUGAGAGCCAGGCGACACAUCCGUCUGGAUUCCUCCAUGUUUACGUUGCUCUUUGAGGUUCUAAGCUCCACCGACAAGCCGGAGGAGAUGGAGUGGCUCCUCGACCAGAUGCCAAAGUGGGGGAUUCCCGUGGAGGACUCCAUGGUUGUGACGGUGAUGCUGGCUUACGGGAGGCUGGACAGGGCCGGUGACGCUCUCAAGCUCUUCUUGAAGAUGGAGGAGCUCGGGGUGAAGUAUCCCAAGACCUCGACUUUCAACUGUAUCUUGCGACUACUCCUCAACGCGGGCCGGAACUUACAGUUCGAUAUGGUACACAAGAGGAUGACGAUGAUGAGGAAGAUGAACGCUCUCACGUACGAGAUUCUCAUCGCUAAGGUCUGCCGGUUUGGCGCCGCCGAGAGCGCGUAUGAAGUCUUCCAGGAGAUGAAAGAUGUGGAGCACCAGCCGAGCGUGGCUGCGUACGCGAGCUUGGUGGAGAGCUUGAGCAAGGCGGGUAGAGAGGACAUAGCUAUCCAGGUGCUGGAAGAGAUGGAAACUCCUUCAGCCGAGGUUUACAACCCGCUGGUGAGGAACUUGGUCCUGGCAGGGAAGCUAGGUGUGGCACUGACACAGUACAAGAAGAUGCUGGAGGCUAAACUCAAGCCGGUUUCCUCGACUUGCAUUCCCAUACUCACGGAGCUCGUGAUCACCGAGAGAAGCGAGCAGGCUUGCUCGCUCUUCCGGGAGAUGAUCAAGUCCGGCUAUGCUUCUCCCGCGGACUGUCUGCCGGUGGUGGAGAGCAGCUACAAGAAGUGCAAGAUCGAGAUGGUGUGGAGCUUCAUCAAGGAGCUUCCCAAGCUUCCGGACUGCGAUUUCGACGAGAAGAUCAUAUACUCUCUCGUCAAGGGACUUAUGGACAAGGAGAGGCUUGAUCUGGCGAGGAAGCUGUUUCAGUCGGUGCUGAGCACGGGGAAGAAGUUGCCGGCGGAUACUUACAACCUUUUCAUCCUCAAGCUGCGCACCACCGACGGCAGCAAGCAGAUCUUCGACCUCAUGAAGCAGAACGGAUGUGUUCCGGAUACUCGCAGCUACAACGGCAUGAUCGAGGCGCUGGUGCGAGCGGGAUCGAUCGGCGAGGCGUAUCAGCUCUUUGUGGAGAUGAUGGACAAAGGCUACCAGGCUGAUGCGAUCACUUACAAGCUGCUCAUGCAGAUCCUCAGCAGGGACGAGAAGAUGAACGCGAGCACCGUCACGGAAGCCAUGACGAAGCUCAAGGAGAAGGGGAAGUUUGAAGCAGCAGGGACGUACCUCGACAAGCUUUCGCAGCAAAAGCUUUUACCGUUUGGGAAAGGCAAGGGGAUCGAAGGGAAGGUUCUGGUGAAAGUCUUGCAAAAGGAUGGACGGAGGCUGGAAGAUAUCUACAUGUGAGACGCAAAAAUUUGGGACAAGAUGUGAGUGGAACUUUAUAUAUGCUUAUCCUUUCACUUCGCUCGAUUUGAUUGUUUUGUUUUGUUUUGUACAGUGGCUUUGAGAGAACUUUGCACUGCUGUGAGUGAUCCGAAGCAUUCAUCUGUGGAGAGCGAAGUUUGUGUGUGGAAUAUCUCCCACACGACGACAAUAAUGCAGGUAUGGGAUAAUAUUCUCUCGAAAGUGCGGCUGCCUCCACUGUCGCUGGCGGCUGAGCAAAGCAGCCACGCUAUAUAUAAAGUCGUGGAGCCAGGUGAAAACUCACCACUCUCAUUUUCCGAGCUCUCCUCGUCGCUGUUUGAUUCCUUCCAGCUUGACAUCUUUAGUUCUCUCUCUUGCAGACCCUUUCGAUCGUCUCAAGCCUCGAGAAAAGUCCACUUUUGAGCUCCAGUGCUUCUCUAGUUCGUCUGGCGAAGGUGUGAAAAAUCAAGUUUUGGCCAAUCUGGUUGAUCCGAGAUGGGA
rnacentral:lncRNA from 1 species